AUUGAACGCUGCGGCAUGCCUUACACAUGCAAGUCGAACGGCAGCACGGGAGCAAUCCUGGUGGCGAGUGGCGAACGGGUGAGUAAUAUAUCGGAACGUGCCCAGUCGUGGGGGAGUAACGCAGCGAAAGUUGUGCUAAUACCGCAUACGAUCUAUGGAUGAAAGCGGGGGAUCGCAAGACCUCGCGCGAUUGGAGCGGCCGAUAUCAGAUUAGGUUGUUGGUGAGGUAAAAGCUCGACCAAGCCUGCGAUCUGUAGCUGGUCUGAGAGGACGACCAGCCACACUGGAACUGAGACACGGUCCAGACUCCUACGGGAGGCAGCAGUGGGGAAUUUUGGACAAUGGACGAAAGUCUGAUCCAGCAAUGCCGCGUGCAGGACGAAGGCCUUCGGGUUGUAAACUGCUUUUGUACAGAACGAAAAAGUCUUUAAUAACACUAGAGGCUCAUGACGGUACUGUAAGAAUAAGCACCGGCUAACUACGUG
rnacentral:rRNA from 1 species